AUGGCACACCUUCAUUCUGAGACUAUAGAGAGUUCAGAAAACCCCCCAUCUCAAUUCAUCUUAUCCAAAAGCCACACCGAAAAUCUCGUAGAAACACUUCCAACAAGAGAAGGAUGGGCCACGCCACUCGUCCUCUACAGCAACUGCUGGAUUAGAGCUAAUUCUCUUAAGGAUUCCAUGGCAGUCAAAGACAAGCUCAAGCCCCGCCCCGACGACAUCAUCCUUGCCGCGCACCCCAAAUGUGGGACCACUUGGUUGAAGGCCCUCCUUUUUACCAUCGUAAACAGAUCCCGCUAUACCUUCACUGACCACCCACUGCUCACGCGCCGUCCUCAUCAAGUUGUGCCUUACCUCGCACUAAGGCCAGGAGACCUUGACAUAGUCGAGACGCUACCCUCCCCGCGGCUGCUCUCCACCCAUCUGCCGCUCUCCCUGCUCCCAUCCACAGUUUCCACCCUUGGUUGUCGGAUUGUGUGCGUUUGCCGGGAUCCCAAAGAUGCCUUUAUCUCAAGGUGGCACUUUGAGAAGAGAAUGAACCAAGGUAUGUCCAUAGGUAUGGAUGAAGCAUUCACAAUGUUUUGUGAGGGAUGCUCACCUUAUGGUCCUUUCUGGGACCGCUAUCUUGAGUACUGGAAAGAAAGCUUGGCCAGGCCACAUGAAGUUAUGUUUUUGAGGUAUGAGGAGAUUGUGUCUGAUACACCGAAGGUUAUCAGCAAGCUAGCAAGCUUCCUGGGCGUCCCGUUUACCCAGGAGGAAGAUAGCAAUGGAGUGGUGGAGCAAAUUGAGGAUUUAUGCGGCUUCACAUCACUGAGCAACAUCGCGGCCAAUCGGCCAAGUCGUGUUGAACAUGAGCAAGCUGGAGAAAAGCUUGUUGUUGAUCCCACUUCACUAUUCAGGAAAGGGAAGGUUGGGGAUUGGGUGAACCACAUGAGCAAGGACAUGGGAGACAGAAUGGACCAACUUGUGGCUGAGAAAUUCAAAGGUUCAGGUCUCAUAUUCUAA
rnacentral:rRNA from 1 species